rnacentral:rRNA from 1 species
UUCUAAUUUCUUUAUUACCUAAAAACCCUUAAACAAUAUUGAGUAAUUCUAUACUACUAUAGAAGAUUUUAUGUUAAAACUAGUAACAAGAAGAAGCACUUCUUUACAAUGCAAGUGUAUAUCAGACAGGACACACCACUGAUAAUUAGCACUAAUGAAGAAAAAGUAGUAACUUAGCAAGAAAAUCCUACUAUAUUACAUGUUAAUCUAACACCAGAGCAUUACAAAAAAGAUUAAAAGAAAAGGAAGGAACUCGGCAAACAUUAACCUCGCCUGUUUACCAAAAACAUCGCCUCUUGAAUAAAUAUAAGAGGUCCAGCCUGCCCAGUGACUCUGUUCAACGGCCGCGGUAUCCUAACCGUGCGAAGGUAGCGUAAUCACUUGUUCUUUAAAUGAGGACUAGUAUGAAUGGCACCACGAAGGUUAUACUGUCUCCCUUUUCUAAUCAGUGAAACUAAUCUCCCCGUGAAGAAGCGAGGAUAAAUAUAUAAGACGAGAAGACCCUAUGGAGCUUUAAACUACGUAACACUUGCACUAAUUAAACAUAACUUUCAGAAAAUCCCACUUUAUCUCUGCAAUAUGAUUACCAGUUUUAGGUUGGGGUGACCGCGGAGCAAAAAAUAACCUCCACAUUGAAAGGAACUCACUCCUUAGCUAAGAGCUACACCUCCAUGCACCAAUAUAAUGACAUCAAUUGACCCAAUAUUUUUGAUCAACGAACCAAGUUACCCUAGGGAUAACAGCGCAAUCCACUUCAAGAGCUCCUAUCGACAAGUGGGUUUACGACCUCGAUGUUGGAUCAGGGUAUCCCGGUGGUGCAGCCGCUACCAAAGGUUCGUUUGUU